UACGUAGGGGGGCAAGCGUUGUCCGGAUUUAUUGGGCGUAAAGAGCUCGUAGGUGGUUCGGUAAGUCGGAUGUGAAAUCUCCAGGCUCAACCUGGAGGGUCAUUCGAUACUGCCGUGACUAGAGGUCGGUAGGGGAGUGUGGAAUUCCUGGUGGAGCGGUGAAAUGCGCAGAUAAUCAGGAGGAACACCCGUAGCGAAGGCGGCACUCUGGGCCGAUACUGACACUUGAGGAGCGAAAGCGUGGGGAGCGAACAGG
rnacentral:rRNA from 1 species